rnacentral:lncRNA from 1 species
GGAAGAGAAUAUGAUCCUAUUACUACGGUUGUUCAAAACUCCAUGUCUAGGCUUCCAACUCUGACGUUUACAAAUGUUUUAUAUGAGGUUCAGUGUUUUGACUCUUGUCUGCAAGAAUAUGAAACAACCGCUGUAAAUCCUCAUAUGGCGUUCAACACUCAGGACGCUCAAGCUCAGCAAGCGUUUCAGACUACUCAUCAACUGAACAGAGAUUGGGGUUACUACAAUAACAUAUUUGGUUCCAACCU